rnacentral:rRNA from 1 species
GUGAGACAGUUCGGUCUCUAUCUAUCGUGGGCGCAUGAGAUUUGCGCGGCUCUGGCACUAGUACGAGAGGACCGUGCCGGACAGACCUCUGGUCUGCCAGUUGUGCCGCCAGGUGCACUGCUGGGUAGCUAAGUUUGGAUCGGAUAAGCGCUGAAUGCAUCUAAGCGCGAAGCCGGCCGCAAGAUUAGAUCUCACAGGGUCGUUGUAGACUACGACGUUGAUAGGCUGCAGGUGUAAAGAUGGUGACGUUAAAGCCGAGCAGUACUAAUUGCCCGUCAGCUUUGUCAU